rnacentral:rRNA from 1 species
UACGUAGGGCGCAAGCGUUGUCCGGAAUUAUUGGGCGUAAAGAGCUCGUAGGCGGCUUGUCACGUCGGAUGUGAAAGCCCGGGGCUUAACCCCGGGUCUGCAUUCGAUACGGGCAGGCUAGAGUUCGGUAGGGGAGAUCGGAAUUCCUGGUGUAGCGGUGAAAUGCGCAGAUAUCAGGAAGAACACCCGUGGCGAAGGCGGCUCUCUGGGACGGUACUGACGCUGAGACGCGAAAGCGUGGGGAGCGAACAGG